UUUGUAUAAUGGGUCAGCGACUUAAUGUAUGUAGCGAGCUUAACCGUUUAGGGGAGGCGUAGGGAAACCGAGUCUUAAUAGGGCGAUUUAGUUGCAUGCAUUAGACCCGAAACCCGGUGAUCUAUCCAUGGCCAGGAUGAAGGUGAGGUAACACUUACUGGAGGUCCGAACCCACGUAUGUUGAAAAAUGCGGGGAUGAGCUGUGGAUAGGAGUGAAAGGCUAAUCAAAC
rnacentral:rRNA from 15 species